rnacentral:tRNA from 1 species
GUGACCGUCGUCUAGCUUGGUUAAGACUCAGGCCUGUGGAGCCUGUAACCUGGGUUCAAAUCCCAGCGGUCACC